rnacentral:rRNA from 1 species
ACGAACGCUGGCGGCGUGCUUAACACAUGCCAGUCGCACGGAAAGGCCCUGCUUGCAGGGUACUCGAGUGGCGAACGGGUGAGUAACACGUGGGUGAUCUGCCCUGCACUUCGGGAUAAGCCUGGGAAACUGGGUCUAAUACCGGAUAGGAGCCAUUUUUAGUGUGAUGGUUGGAAAGUUUUUUCGGUGUAGGAUGAGCUCGCGGCCUAUCAGCUUGUUGGUGGGGUAAUGGCCUACCAAGGCGGCGACGGGUAGCCGGCCUGAGAGGGUGGACGGCCACAUUGGGACUGAGAUACGGCCCAGACUCCUACGGGAGGCAGCAGUGGGGAAUAUUGCACAAUGGGCGCAAGCCUGAUGCAGCGACGCCGCGUGGGGGAUGACGGCCUUCGGGUUGUAAACUCCUUUCGCUAGGGACGAAGCUUUUUGUGACGGUACCUAGAGAAGAAGCACCGGCUAACUACGUG